AUUGAACGCUGGCGGCAGGCCUAACACAUGCAAGUCGAACGAGUGGCGGACGGGUGAGUAAUGCAUGGGAAACUGCCUGAUGGAGGGGGAUAACUACUGGAAACGGUAGCUAAUACCGCAUACCAUCAGAUGUGCCCAGCUGGGAUUGGCUAGUAGGUGGGGUAACGGCUCACCUAGGCGACGAUCCCUAGCUGGUAUGAGAGGAUGACCAGCCACACUGGAACUGAGACACGGUCCAGACUCCUACGGGAGGCAGCAGUGGGGAAUAUUGCACAAUGGGCGCAAGCCUGAUGCAGCCAUGCCGCGUGUGUGAAGAAGGCCUUCGGGUUGUAAAGCACUUUCAGCGGGGAGGCGUUACCCGCAGAAGAAGCACCGGCUAACUCCGUGCCAGCAGCCGCGGUAAUUC
rnacentral:rRNA from 1 species